UGGUGGGAUGCUCGCAGGCUAACGAAAAGGCUAAGAUAACUAACCAUACCAUUUUGCAAGGACUAAAGGCUAGGAUCGGCUAGGCUAAAAAAGCAUGGGUGGAUGAGUUGCAUAAUAAACUCUGGGUCUACUGCACCACUCAAAAGAUACCUAUUGGAGAGACUCCUUUCAUCCUCUCCUUCGGAAGGAAGUCAUCAUCCUAAUAGAAAUUAGACUCCCUUCACAUCG
rnacentral:lncRNA from 1 species